rnacentral:sRNA from 1 species
UGCUGGGAGGUGAGACCCUGUGAGGGCUGUGGGGGCGUCAGGUGGGGUAGGCUCCAGGGAGCCUGGCCUGAGACCUGCCCAGUGCAUUGAGGGUACACCUGGAGCCCACUCCUCCUGAUGCCCCCACAGCCCUCACAGGGUCUGACCUCCCAGCAUGCACCUGCCUCUCCCUACACCCCAGAUGUCCACCCUGCCUGUUCCCUGACUUCCUCCAUCCUGUCCAGCAGCAUGGGCUGGGCAGUGGGACAGCCUGUGUGCACAUUUUGUGGCAAGUAGGAGUGACACACCAUCCCUGGGUGGCACCAUGGUUCCUGCCAAACCCAACCCCAGAACUCUGUCCCUGAGGUGGUUUUACAAAACCCAAAACCCAGAACUGUGGUUGUGGCUCAGGGGUCAGCACCUGCUAGUACCAGGACACUACUGGGAGGUUGGGACCUGACCAUGGUGUCUGUGGCCUGAGGACAGGGUGUCUUGGGGCCAUAAGGCCCAGCUGCCAAUGGCCAUUGGGUCAUAGGGCCUCAGCCCCAGUGUUUGCCCUUCCCUGGCUCCUUCUGGUUCAGUCCCAUCAAGGCCCUGGAGCCCAAGACCUAGCACCCAAGGUCCCCUCCAGGAAUCCUUGCGUCUUGGCUUCCUUUAUCGUGUUUCAUCUGAGAGCAAAAAUGUCAGAUCGGAUGUGCAGAAAAAUGGCCCAAAGUGCUUAAUGACUAGAAGAAAUCUAGGAGCAGCAAGAAGGUAAUGUGGAGAGGGGCGGACUUCCAUGACCGGUGUCUGCAGAUCCAGGGGUACAGGCACCCAGUGCUGUGGCCUGGUACCACCUGCCUCUCAGAGGGUGGGUGGCACACUGUCCUUACUCGGAGGACAGCAGGCCUGAUUACCGGCUUUUCUACCUGUCCUUGUAAGCAUCACGUUGCUAGAAGAAAAUCUCAUGCCAGAGCUUGUACCAUCCCUAGCUCAGAGGUUAGGAGUUGUCUCUUGGUGACCUAAAUGAAAAAGUAGGUCCAGAUCAGAGUUCCUGAUGCAGAGAACUCAUCCACUCUUUGAAUCAUGUGAGGGAAGGCCUGGUUUUAGGUAAACCUAACCUCUUUGAGGAACCACAGAGCCCAAGACUGGAAACCUUCAGAAUCUUCUGGCCCCCAAUCCUCCCUGGGGACCCCUGUGGCCUGUCUCACCAGAGCACUCUUCUGUCUGUAGGUGUCUCGGCUGCUCUACAAGGGAGUCCCAUUUCAGGCAUGGGGCUGGGCAUGGUCACUCCUGCUGGAUGUCUAGAAGGUAGAAGCCAAGGACCUAGGAAAAUACCAGAUACAGCCUUUCCACCCUCAUCCAGAGCAGGACAAACAGGCCAGGUGGUGUCAGGAGCCCAGGUCUCCAGCUAGAGGGAACAUCAACCCUGCAGUGGGAGCAGGGGCCCAUCGCACAUCCUAGGCACAGAUGCUAAUGUAGGCAUCACAGGUAAGCUGGGCUUGGUACCCUUCCCUGGCUUCAGAAAGAAGUCAAACAAGGAGCAUUUUACAGAAUGAAACCUUUCUUUCCAGAAGCACUGCUGACUGUUUAGUGGUUGCCGUUUGUGGCAGUGAGCAUUUUGUCCACUCUGAGGUUGGAUUGGUUUCUCCUUUUGGCCUUGCCCUGCCGUACAGACCAUAAAGGAGAACAGCAAGAGGCCCCCACCAAACAUCCACAGAUGGCCCUGGACAUCAGCCACAUUCUGAGAAACAUGUCAUGUUCUGGGAUGGCUAAGGCAUCAAGUAAGGCCUAUGGGGCCAGAGGAUCCCAGGCAAGGUGGGGCAAUCCAGAGCCAUGGGGGCUUCCCAUGGGAAUUGGGAGGUCCCCAGGCAGAGUCAGAGGUUCCACAGGAGGAGUCACAGAGUCACCAAGGGCUUUCCUGGCCCAGGGAGCAGUCAACACCAUGGACUGAACACCUGCUGGGCUCCAAGCCCUGGGCCAGGCUGGCCAUGUGGGAGCAGGAGGCAGCUCAGAGCAGGAGGCAGAGAGAGAAGUGUGCUCACAGGGCACCUGUAUCUGGAUGUAAUGUGGUCCUGAGAUUCUGGCUGGGAAGUGCUUCCAGGGUUUCAUAUGUGUUAUGCAGCUGCUUCCUCUCCCCAGCCUUACCCUGUGGUAAUUCUAGUGACUAUGUUGCCACCAUCUUGGAGCUCCAUGCCCUCAUAGUGUACGGCACCUGCAGAACUGCCUGUGCAUGGACAUCCUAUACUACCUCACUCCUGAGGGGUGAUGCUUCUGCAGGGCCUAUGAUCUGGUGCACAACUUUAGACACCAUCAUCCUGGAGCAGCUCUGCACCCUCACUAGCCAGAGUUUUGACAUCCUCAAGGCCAAGGCCACAUUCAAGACUUUGGACUUCAUUGAUGCACUUGUGCUGAGCAAGAUCCUGGUCAGAGUAAAACAUUCCAUGGGAACUCGGGCUGUGAGAACCAUCUUAACCAACUGACUGCAAAAACAUCCUUAUCACAUCCUGCUGGGCAAAGGCCCAACAGCCUGACUGCAGGAACAUCCUUAUCAUCUUCUACUGCGCAGCAAGCUGUACUGCCCAGAGCCCUCCCUCCCAGCCCCAUGAUUACCCCAGCCUGUGAGCGGCAGUGGGCGCUGACACUAAGCUGGUUUCCCCCUCCGCAGGGUUUUGCUAGUAGUAAGCCUGUGUUGCUGUUG